CCUUAUUUAAAACUAAUAAAACUUAGGGAUGCACUGAAUCCAGACUUUUGGGGUUCAGCCGAAUACCAAAUCCACUGGUUAAGAUUUGGCCGAAUCCGGAAUCUUCCUCCCAUCCUCAUUCCAUUACCACAUGAAACCCAUUAAUGAAGUAAACACGUCUGGUUAACACACGUUUUUGGCUGGGACUGUCCUUCCUUUGCCGUACCUGAGGUUACUACAUUUUGGCU